rnacentral:rRNA from 1 species
AACGUAGGGGACAAGCGUUAUCCGGAUUUACUGGGCGUAAAGCGCCCGUAGGCGGCCUGACAAGUUGGACGUGAAAGCUCCUGGCUUAACUGGGAGAGGCCGUUCAAAACUGUCAAGCUAGAGUCUGGAAGAGGAGAGCGGAAUUCCCGGUGUAGUGGUGGAAUGCGUAGAGAUCGGGAGGAACACCAGUGGCGAAAGCGACUUACUGGACACAUAUUGACGCUGAGGUGCGAAAGCGUGGGGAGCAAACAGG